rnacentral:tRNA from 1 species
GCCGAGGUGGCGAAAUUGGCAGACGCACUAGCUUUAGGAGCUAGCGCCGCAAGGCAUGUGGGUUCAAAUCCCACCCUCGGCACCA